rnacentral:rRNA from 1 species
GACGACGCUGGCGGCGCGCUUAACACAUGCAAGUCGUGCGGUGUCGAAGGCAAGUCUUACGACAAGCCUUCGACACAGCGGCGAACGGGUGAGUAACACGUGAGUAGCUGUCCUAAGGAGGGGGAUAACGCCUGGAAACGGGUGCUAAUACCCCAUAUGCCUCGCAAGAGGUGAAAGUGUACUUGUUACAGCCUUAGGGUGUGCUCGCGGCCUAUCAGCUAGUUGGUGAGGUAACGGCUCACCAAGGCUAAGACGGGUAGCCGGCCUGAGAGGGUGUACGGCCACACUGGAAUUGAGAUACGGUCCAGACUCCUACGGGAGGCAGCAGUGGGGAAUCUUGGGCAAUGGGCGAAAGCCUGACCCAGCGACGCCGCGUUGGGGAUGAAGCCCUUCGGGGCGUAAACCCAUGUUGUAGGGGACGAAGAAAGUGACGGUACCCUACGAGAAAGCCCCGGCCAACUACGUG